GAUGAACGCUGGCGGCGUGCCUAAUACAUGCAAGUCGAGCGAACGGACGAGAAGCUUGCUUCUCUGAUGUUAGCGGCGGACGGGUGAGUAACACGUGGAUAACCUACCUAUAAGACUGGGAUAACUUCGGGAAACCGGAGCUAAUACCGGAUAAUAUUUUGAACCGCAUGGUUCAAAAGUGAAAGACGGUCUUGCUGUCACUUAUAGAUGGAUCCGCGCUGCAUUAGCUAGUUGGUAAGGUAACGGCUUACCAAGGCAACGAUGCAUAGCCGACCUGAGAGGGUGAUCGGCCACACUGGAACUGAGACACGGUCCAGACUCCUAAGGGAGGCAGCAGUAGGGAAUAUUCCGCAAUGGGCGAAAGCCUGACGGAGCAACGCCGCGUGAGUGAUGAAGGUCUUCGGAUCGUAAAACUCUGUUAUUAGGGAAGAACAUAUGUGUAAGUAACUGUGCACAUCUUGACGGUACCUAAUCAGAAAGCCACGGCUAACUACGUG
rnacentral:rRNA from 1 species